GAAGGAUCGUUAUCUUUGAACGAUGCGAAUGUUGGUCGCGUUACAACGCUUACCUUUAUCUGUCAAUAAGCAGACGACCUUAACGAUUACCUAUAUGUCCCACGUGUAUUGCGCAUCGGCUGCAACUAUUUCUGUGAUAUACUCGCGUGCUUCAACUGUGUGUUAUUUGCGAAACGAGAGCGUUAUUUGUCAGAAGAGAAUCGAUACGGUAAUGUCAAUAAGGAGCUGUACUAUUCUACUCUUUUGUUCCGCUUCAUUCGUUACACGGCCAUCGAAAAUAGACUGGAUUAUCUUCCUUCCUGUCCUGUGCUCAUUUCCGUCGACGUGUAUUUUACAGCUUAAGCUAUUAAAUCAUUUCGACAUAGACGGCAGAAUUUAACGAGCUUUUCAUCCCUUAGAAAUGUUUUCGAAAUUCUAUACCCCUCGUACAGGUAGCAAUAAUUAAAUUAGAAUUUUUAUUUUCAUUACAAUAAUCACCAAAGUUGCAACAACACUGCAACAAAGAAAAUGUAAACGUGAAUCGAGACAAAGUAGUUAAUCCGCGAACAAUAGAGAUUAAAUGCAACACACAAUCUUUUGUGUACAACACGAUUGAGAUUAAAUAGCUGACAAUGAGACAAUAUGCCACGUUGAUCUCCGUUUCUGCUUUAUCGAGAUCGAUCAUUUGGCUCACCAUUGUCGUGCACGGUGUGGGUGGGUCUAAUACGGUUGUAGUCGAUAAAAGGGAAAAAGGGUCGGGUUAAGAGAAAGAAACGAUCAGAGUGAAGGGAAACGGAAGAAAAUUGAAGAAACCUUGCCACCUUGUGACUCAUCGUUAGCCAAUAUUGAUAUUAGCAUUCCACUUUUUUUAUUUUUCUUUCUAAUUUCCAUCACAUCCAUCACUGUAGCGAGAUUCUUAAGUUACUCAUGGAUGACUAUACCAAAAGAUGAUACGCGAAAACGCAUCAGGCGCUCCAUUGAUUAAACCAUCUCUUACUAAUGGAAUUUUAGAAUUAUGUUAAUGUGAACUUGAUUAUUUAAAUCUUAAUGAAUAAAUUAUAACUCCACCCAACAGAAGGGUGGUAUUCGUCCAUGAUAGUAUCGUCAACAUUCAUCCAUUUACAGAUUGAUUUAUCGACUUGACGUGCAGAAUGAAACAAACAAACGAAAAAAGUCACCAUUGAAUAAAGAAAAACGUCAUCACAUAUAAUGAACACGACUCAUUGGCGCUACUAUCAGUUUUAUCUCUGGAUUUUCCUUCUCCUCCAUGACUUUCCUCCUUUCCUUUCUUUUUCUCUUUUUUUUCUGAAUAAAUGACAAACUGCAUUUCUUGGAAGGCAACUUUUUAUCUAUCAAACGAGUUCUUUCGACUAAUAUACGAUUCCGAAGAUCAGUUGUUUAUGCAAAAAUCAAAAGUUCAUCUAAAAUAAUGUUCUCAUUCUGAACGAUGCAUAGUAGAAUAAAAUCGACGAUGAAAAGUUACGUAAAGGGUAAAGGAAAUUGCAGGAAAACAUUGCAAAUACAAUGUUGAUAAUUGUACACGCUUCUGCAUAUACAAAUCGAUAACAGGUCAUGUGCAUAAAUUAAUAAGUAAUUAAUAAAUGACGACGUUGCAAUACGAUAUAUGGAAUUCGUAUAGAAUUGAAAGACGAUGAAUCCUCGACGAACGUCACAACCGGGCUACGGACAGGAAACACGAUAAUUAAUAUGAAAAGAUGACUCACCGAAUAAUCAAUCGAGAAAGGUGGACCUUUUGGGUGUCCAGUGUUCGCCAAUUCGAUCGGUAACGUGCGUAUGCGAUCCUUGAUCGAAAUGAGGGAUGGGUGCAAUCAAUGCAUUCAUUUAUACCGCGCGCUCGACGGCUAUUUCCGGCGCAACAAACGAACCACCGCACCGUUUCCGCCGGAGAAGCCAAGUCGAACGGAAAGAAACGGAUCCGGCCGUUGUCCAAGUUUUUUUCAAAGCUGUCCGCGAACGCGGUUUUUACGGAACUUCUGCCCCAAAUCCAUCCGAUAACGUCGCGAUAACGAUACGAGUCCCAUCCAGUAUUAUCUAAAAUUGGAGAAUACCAGAUUAUCCAUUCACUCGGCUGGUUUGCUGCCAAACACGCGUUACCACCAUCUGAAGUGUCAGUGUUGGCACUUGAUAAGCAUAGCACGUACGUACACGUAUUAGAAAUUUCACGGUAGGAUCGUAAAUCAAAUCGUCCGACUUUCGUUUCCGACGGUUUCGUGGCCACCGUGUUAUGUCGGAAAGGAAUAAACACGAUUCCUAAAAUUUUCCUCAAACUCACUUAUUGUCGCAACGAUUUUCAAGAAAUUUUAAUGAAAGUCGUUGGAACUUUGAGGUUCCAUAAAUUUUCCAUAGUAUUCGACGCGAGGCAAUAGUAAAUUUUUCCAGCGGUAAAUUAACUAAUUGGUCAUUCAAGAUUGCAGCAAUUACGAGUUGGAUUAUCACCGUGAACACGACAAUUAAACAAAACUUAUAAUAUCAUGAAAUUUGUUCUUGAUAUACGAAUUACGUUUACUCCGUCCCUUUUUUAGUCAUCGGUAUAUUUUGCUUUAUAAAUAGCUGGAAGAACGGAUAAUAGUUCGCUGAGAACGAUCUAAUGAAAGAAGAACAUAAAAUGAUCGUAAAUUUUCAGAAAUUCCUUUUGCACUGACGUCACAACUACUGCGGUUCUUAAGAUAUGAAACCGGAAUGGUUAAUUGAAAUAAAUAUUAUUCCCAUCAUACGUGCAUAAUAAACGCGUUAUUUGUUUGCGUACAUGAAUGAAAUUCGCUCCACAAGAUACGUGCAGUUCUGUUUUAACAUUCAUGUUUAAAUUUAUUGUUCAGUGAGUAAGCGGUUGAAAUUGAAAUGGAAUUUUUCUGAUAUUUCGAAGAUAAGAACACGUCUUUAAGAAUGUUUAACAAAUACGAAAAUGUACAGAGACUAUUUUUUGAAUUUAAUACAUUUAACCCACGAUUUACACGGUAGCUCGUUUCUGGAAAAGGUUCUGGUAUAAAGAGGGAUGACGCGCGCCCCGGAAGUGAAGGCGUUCGCCGGAAAGAUACAAUUCCACGAAAAGAAACCGACGACCUCAGAUUUGUUCCUACGUACGUUACAACGAAAACGAUUUGUAAGGAAAAAGCAAAAGCAUGCUUGGAACGCGUAUGUACGUACACAGUGACAGGGAACAGAAAUAAAAUAAACUGUAAGCUUCCUGAAGAUAGCGCUAGUCACCAUACGAUAUGACUUUAGACCACGUGUGUGCUCCCACAGAAGUGCAAAACGAACCAAUGUAUUCCGGAGUCGCGUUUAAAAGAAAAAGAAAAAAGAAAAUGUGUGUUUGCAGUAGUAUAUACGUCUCACGGUCAUCGUAUCGUAAGCGUACGUAACUGAAUAUUAUUAUGUUUAUCUCUCUCGAUAAGCUGCACGUACGAGAUCGAACGAAUCGAUUAAAAAGUAUGCAAUUGUCCGAUUAAACGGAUGUAACCGAAAGCGUACGAAUAUAUUUGUAAACAAUGAUAUCUUUUGUCGAAUCAAUUAACGAUUGUUCUGCUCGUCAAGUUUAAAUAAAGAAGAGAACUAUUUUUAGUAAUGGCA